CCUGAGUUAUCAACUCCCAAACCCCUGUGAACAUACCUAUCGUUGCUUCGGCGGGCAGUCCGGCGCGCCACGUUGACGGCAAGCUGGACCCAGGCGCCCGCCGGAGGACCCAAACUCUUGUUUAUUGAGUGUAUCUUCUGAGUAGCAUAAGCAAAAUAAAUUA
rnacentral:misc_RNA from 1 species